AGCUAACGAACGAGAUGAGGAUGGUCAUUGUCAUUUUCUAAGCUGCAAACGGGCAGAAAGCUAACGAACGAGAUGAGGAUGGACAUUGUCAUUUUCUAAGCUGCGAACGGGCAGAAAGCUACACAACGAGAUGAGGAUGGUCAUUGUCAUUUUUUAAGCUGCGAACGGGCAGAAAGCUAACGAACGAGAUGAGGAUGAACAUUGUCAUUUUCUAAGCUGCGAACGGGCAGAAAGCUACACAACGAGAUGAGGAUGGUCAUUGUCAUUUUUUAAGCUGCGAACGGGCAGAAAG